rnacentral:rRNA from 1 species
ACUCCUACGGGAGGCAGCAGUAGGGAAUAUUGGGCAAUGGGUGAGAGCCUGACCCAGCCAUGCCGCGUGCAGGAAGACGGCCUCAGGGUUGUAAACUGCUUUUCUACGAGAAGAAAGAGGUUGUGCGCAACCAGUUGACGGUAUCGUAGGAAUAAGCACCGGCUAACUCCGUGCCAGCAGCCGCGGUAAUACGGAGGGUGCAAGCGUUGUCCGGAUUUAUUGGGUUUAAAGGGUACGUAGGCGGGCGUCUAAGUCAGUGGUGAAAGCCCACAGCUUAACUGUGGAACUGCCAUUGAUACUGGAUGUCUUGAGUAUAGUAGAGGUGGGCAGAAUUCAUGGUGUAGCGGUGAAAUGCAUAGAUACCAUGAGGAAUACCUAUAGGGAAGCCAGCUCACUGGACUAUUACUGACGCUAAGGUACGAAAGCGUGGGGAGCGAACAGGAUUAGAUACCCUGGUAGGCUCU